UUUUUUUUUUUUUAGUACGUUUGUUCCGUUUGGAACAGGCUAAGGUCGGAGACCAUGCUGCCUAGUCUUCAAAAAGAUAAAUUGUCUGGAAUUUUAUUUUUCUAAUGUCGCUUCAAUUAUUGUCAUAAUCUUCAAUAUUUCAUUUGUCAAAUCCGAUGCUGCAACGCUCAGAAUUCUUACAGAAUUUAGCUAAAUGUCCAUACCUCAAGCACCGGUAGCAUUGUUUAACUGGUGGUAUAUAUGGAGUGACAUUGUGGCGCCAACCUCCAAUAUCCAGAUAUUCAGGUAAUACAGAUGCAGCAAAAGUAAUUGUCACGGUUAGAGUUGGCUGUAACACAUAUCCAUGAGUCAAGGUAUUUUUUCUUAAAAUUCUUUUAAUAGCAAUAAUUUUCUUAGAACUCGAUAUCAUAGUAUAUAUUUUUUUAUUAGAUAUAUUUGUAGGUACAUUUCUAAUAACGCCUGUAACUUCUGUUGAAGAAGCAGGAAUACUGGCCUUAAAAUGGUAGUCAUUUAAAAAAGUUUUAUUAUUUAAAAAAGCAUUGGCUAAGUCUGGCUUUUGAAAGUAUACUCCGAUUUUGAAUUUAUUUAUAGAUCUAAGAUAAGUUACCCCUUUAUUAAAUCGUUUUAAACAGGAGGAGAGUGAGAGCAAGUCUCUGGAUCCAAUGGUUUUCUGACUAUCUGAGGAUUCUACAAAGACAACAAAUUCUGUCCCAGGGGAUUCCUCGGGAUAUCUUCUAAUAUAAUCUGUGACGUAGUAAGGUUUAUACUUAUCGGCCUUAUCAAUUUCAGAUUCUGAGUCAGUAGAAGUAUCUUCCGAAUAUAUAUCCUUGUCAUUACAAGGUUCAUGGUCUACAUCACCUGAAUCGUCAUCUUUUUUUUUCCUUUUUCUACAACUGCGCUUCCCCAUGAAUGCUAAUUAUAUUACUGUCGCUGAAUUUAGUGAAAAUAUAAUAUUUUAUUAAAUAAUAAGAAUUGAUAGAGAUAGUUUUAAUAAAUUAAUAAAAAAAAUUUAAAAAA